CAAUCUGUAUUUUUAUCAAUCUUUGCUGAUUGCGCAUCUACUUUCUUGUCCAAAGCUUCCAAUUUUUCAAAGAUUUUUCUAGCACAGAAACAGAUGCUCCUGAGGCCAUAUCUUCCAAUUGUAACUGCUCUACUUCACCCUCUCCCUCUUUUGCCUGUAGCAAGGCAGCUUCUUCAAGUUGUACUUCUGAGGGCAAAGUAGGCACAGAUGAUCUACGUGUCUGCGAGGCUGAGGUUAGGUUUGUUAGAGUUGUUUGUCUAACUCUUCCUCUUCUUCUUGUACCACUCAUUCCAAUGUUAUCUAUCAGUCAAGGUCACACUGAGUUUUUCCCACAGGAAUAGAGAGGCCCAGAGCAAGCAGACAACAAGGGAAUCGAAAGUAAAUGUAUUUAUAAAGUCACUGUUUUAAUCCAAUCCUCUAGAGGGAGCUUAAAAUGUCUUUUCAGAGUCUGAUUUAAUGUCCCAGAACCUUCCAAUAUAAGUAUUAAGCAGAGUUUAAAAGUAAUCACUUUGUUGCAGACAGUGCUUAUUUGUCUCCAGAAAGAAUGUUUCAAAUUUAAAAGGUCUCAAUACCCUCAGAUUGUUGCAACUUCUAAUAUACAGUAUCCAAGUCAAACACUGACAGCCCACUGUUACAGUGCUCAAGCAAUCCUGACUCUGGGUUUCACCUUCCAAUUUGUAAUCCAAUAAAAGGGGAAAGUCAAGUGCAAAUAAAAGGUCCAAAUCUUUAACUUGCUAGUUUUACUUUAAAUUGUAAGUUCCAUAGAUGCUUGGCUGUGUAGAGUUUAAAAUCUCUUUCUUUCAGCCUCCACUCCUCCACCUUAGUUGCUUUUUUUUCCAAGUUCAAUGGCAGCGGAAGACGGACUUCCUGUUUCCACGUCUCUCCGCUUUCAGCCAAAUUCAAGUCAAUUUAAACCUUCUCAUUUAAAAUUUGUAAUUCCAAGUGAUUCAGUCUUUACUCACGAAUAAGUUGUUUUCUUCCAGGUCCGAAUUUUAACAGGAAAAGGGAUCAGCGCUCACCGGCAGCAGCAGCGCGGCUUCACUCCGCUGACUGUGAAACGGCUCACAGCGCCGCAGCCCCCCUCCACGCUCCGGAGCCUCUUACGAGGCUCCUUCUGCAGUUGGAGGGCUGCUCUUGGCGCCCGCCGAGCCUCAGGACCCCAGGCUCUUGCUGCCUGGGGUUUUUCUCGUUGGGUCUCCGCUUCGCCGUAGCGGACGGCCCGAUUUCAGCGGAGCUUCUUCUCCCGUCGGGAGAAGACCGCCAUUACCGUUCGCGCCGCCCCCCGGAAGUC